rnacentral:rRNA from 1 species
CCUACGGGAGGCAGCAGUAGGGAAUCUUCCACAAUGGGCGAAAGCCUGAUGGAGCAACGCCGCGUGGGUGAAGAAGGUCUUCGGAUCGUAAAACUCUGUUGUUAGAGAAGAAAGUGCGUGAGAGUAACUGUUCACGUUUCGACGGUAUCUAACCAGAAAGCCACGGCUAACUACGUGCCAGCAGCCGCGGUAAUACGUAGGUGGCAAGCGUUAUCCGGAUUUAUUGGGCGUAAAGGGAACGCAGGCGGUCUUUUAAGUCUGAUGUGAAAGCCUUCGGCUUAACCGGAGUAGGGCAUUGGAAACUGGGAGACUUGAGUGCAGAAGAGGAGAGUGGAACUCCAUGUGUAGCGGUGAAAUGCGUAGAUAUAUGGAAGAACACCAGUGGCGAAAGCGGCUCUCUGGUCUGUAACUGACGCUGAGGUUCGAAAGCGUGGGUAGCAAACAGGAUUAGAUACCCUGGUAGUC